GACUCUUGAGACCUGCCUGCCGGACUCCCUGCUCGAGCGUUGUGGGCUGCGCAGCUUUCCAGGCUUUCUGGUUGGGCAGGGUCAAGAGCUCCACUCAGCCGUGGGCAGGCUUAUGACUCUGCUCCCUCCAGGGCUGGAAAGUUGCUUCAUUUGAGGACCUAGAUCAGGCAGCCCUGCUUCCUACCGAGUCCCCUCGUCAGACCACGUCACUGACUGACUUCUGCAGAUGAAUAAGCCAUGGGUUGGGACCUCUGCUUGGGCGCUGCAGGUAGGAACUCUUGCCGCCAAGAUCUGAGAGCUGGUUGUUGCAACCCCUUCUUCCUCUUCUCUCAUGGUCAAAUUGCCAGUGGUCAAGCUCCGCAGAUCCCCUGAAAUCCUGGUGCGGCCAGACCCAAGCUGGGGCUCCUAAGAUGUGACCCACAAUGUUGGGAAGCUUGCUGACCACGCUGGCUGUUUUUCCCACCAGAGAAACCAAGGCCAAGGGGAGGGGUGGUUCAGAAGGGUGCUUCAGCCUCCUCUUUGUGUUCCAGAAUUCUCUCAGUGGUCUUUUCCUUGUAUACUUGUUUUUGUGACGGGGAGCAAAGUCAGGAAUGACCUAUGUCACCAUCUUGGUGAUAUCAUCUGUCACCAUUCUGUUUCAUUGGUUAGGUCUGGAAAUGCAUUUUGGACAUCUCAAGCACUUCAUCUUGUGUGCAAGGAGACAUACGUGAAGGCCACCAGCACAGAGUUGAAGGUGUUCCCUAAGAGGCAGAGGCUUCUAGGACCUGUGUCUACACUAACUGAACCUUGGAUCGUGUGUCCCUGUGCUGUGCCGGGAGUGUCAUGUUAAGUUCCCAAUUCCAAAAGAUAUACCGUAUUCCUGCUCAACAGAUUGACAGAAAAGAUUGUUUCUCCUCCUGUCACGAAGUGGGUGUUUCACCAGUCCGUGGGAACGUGUCUGGCACUCACACUAGACUG